rnacentral:rRNA from 1 species
GAGUUUGAUCGUGGCUCAGAGUGAACGCUGGCGGUAGGCCUAACACAUGCAAGUCGAACGGUAACAGGUCUUUCGGGAUGCUGACGAGUGGCGGACGGGUGAGGAAUACAUCGGAAUCUGCUCAGUCGUGGGGGAUAACGCAUGGAAACGUGCGCUAAUACCGCAUACGACCUUCGGGUGAAAGCAGGGGAAUCUCUCGGGAUCCUUGCGCGAUUGAAUGAGCCGAUGUCGGAUUAGCUAGUUGGUAGGGUAAAAGCCUACCAAGGCCACGAUCCGUAGCUGGUCUGAGAGGAUGAUCAGCCACACUGGGACUGAGACACGGCCCAGACUCCUGCGGGAGGCAGCAGUGGGGAAUAUUGGACAAUGGGGGCAACCCUGAUCCAGCCAUACCGCGUGGGUGAAGAAGGCCUUCUGGGUUGUAAAGCCCUUUUGUUGGGAAAGAAAAACAACGGGUUAAUACCCCGUUGGUAUGACGGUACCCAAAGAAUAAGCACCGGCUAACUUCGUGCCAGCAGCCGCGGUAAUACGAAGGGUGCAAGCGUUAAUCGGAAUUACUGGGCGUAAAGCGCGCGCAGGCGGUUCGAUAAGAAAGAUGUGAAAGGCCUGGGCUCAACCUGGGAAUGGCAUUUUUAACUGUCGGGCUAGAGUACGGUAGAGGGUGGUGGAAUUUCCUGUGUAGCGGUGGAAUGCGUAGAUAUAGGAAGGAACAUCAGUGGUGAAGGCGACCACCUGGACUGAUACUGACGCUCAUGUGCGAAAGCGUGGGGAGCAAACAGGAUUAGAUACCCUGGUAGUCCACGCUGUAAACGAUGUCGACUAGCCGUUGGUCUCCUAGUGGGAUAAGUGG